GAGAAAAACACGGAAAUGCCACGCUGUGCAAUUCUAGUUUGAUGUAAAUUUUAACUAUAACAACAUAGAUCGUUUUUCGAUGCAAUCUGAUAACUUGAAUUAUAAACCAAGCGAUGACGGACAACCUACGUGCAUAUGUAUCAUUUUAACAAAAUUGUACGCUUUAAUAGGUUAAUAAUGAGUAUAUGAAGGAUUGUAUAAAUUUGCUGGCAAUCGAGUUCAACUUCUAGCCAGCUCGCUGUUUGAACGAACUGGACUUAAGCAGAACAGACGAAUUCCUUUGGAAAGAUUAAAAAGUUAAAUCCAUCAAGUAAGAGACAAAAUAGCUAUAACUAAUGCCGUUAUUUAUACAGUACUCAGUUUACCAGUACUAGUAUUGGUAUUACUAUAUAAAUAAAUUCAUAUAUAUUAGAUUCCUAGGUAAAUUUGCUAAGAAUGAAACUGUGAGGCCAGUCAAGACUCAUGCCCAUGUUGUUCGGAUUAUAUGUGUUAACUAAACAAGCUGAUCCACCUAUCUUCGAUCAGACAAUAUUUACUACUAAACGUUACAUAAUUAAGACAGUUUAUAAUUUAAUAUCACAUACAAACAGCCAGUAACUUUUCUCUUGAGUAUAGACUCUGAAUCUACGAAUCGAACAUUCUUAAUCAUUUGUCUAUAUGGUUUUGUUGUUUGUUUACAUGUAGUAAGACUAUGCCAAGUUCAUUAAAAAAUAAAUAUAUCUCUUUCGGCAGAACUGUAAAGGUCAAGACGCCCACUAGCAUGGAUCGAGCAAUUUUGUACUAAAAAACUUGGAAGAGCAAAGACAAG